rnacentral:tRNA from 1 species
GCAUUGAUGGUUUAGUGAUAGAAUUCUUGCCUUCCAUGCAGGAGACCUGGGUUCGAUUCCUAGCCAAUACG